UACGUAGGGGGCGAGCGUUGUCCGGAGUUACUGGGCGUAAAGGGCAUGCAGGCGGUCCGACACGUUUUGUGUGACAGCGGGUGGCUUAACUACCCGAGGAUACGAAAGACGGUUGGACUUGAGGACUCGAGAGGGACACGGAAUUCCGGGUGGAGUGGUGAAAUGCUGUGAGAGAGUCCGGAGGAACACCGAAGGCGAAGGCAGUGUCCUGGCGAGUGACUGACGCUGAGGUGCGAAAGCCAGGGGAGCGAACGGGG
rnacentral:rRNA from 1 species